CGGGUGCCGGGAGGGCCCGGAGUGCUGCGGGCCGGCCCCGGGCGCGGAGCCGCCGGCGCGGCCUGUGCGGGCAGAAGUGCCCAGCGCUGGGCUGUGCGGCGCUCCAGGGAUGGCGGGCUCCUCCCGUCGUGUGCUAGGCCGACAGAAGGGUUUUUAAAAACCAGAAUCACACAGAAUCCCAGAAUCGUGAGGCUUGGAAGGGACCUCUGGAGAUCAUCUGCUCCAGCCGUUCUGCCAAGCAGGGUCGCCUGGAGCAGGUGACAGAGGAACGCGUCCAAAUGGGUUUUGAAUGUCUCCAGAGAGGGAGACUCCAUGACCUCUCUGGGCAGCCUGUUCCAGUGCUCUGCCAUACUCAAUGUGAAGUUCUUCCUCAUGUAGAGGUGAAACUUCCUGCAUUUUAUUUUGUGGCCGUUGCUCCUCGUCCUGUCACUAAGCACCACAAAAAAAGAGCCUGAUGCCAUCCUCUUGGCACUCUCCUUUGAGACGUUUUUAUGUAUUGAUGGGAUCCCCUCUCAGUUUUUCUCAGCUGAACAGGCCCAGCUCCCAGUCUCUCCUCAUAAGAGAGAUGCUCGGUCUUUGUGGCCUCUGCUGAACCCUCUGCAGUAGCUCCAUGUCUUUCUUGUGAUGAGGAACCCAGAACUGGACACAGCCCAGAACAGGGAUGAGCAAGACCUGCAUUUCCAAGGGUUUUCAAAAAGAGGCCAGUUUUUUGGGUUUUUUUAUCAGUGCACAGUCAGAGGCCAAAGUCUGAGCAGCACUGCAUGCCCUGCCUUCAGGAAGCCUCCAGAGGCAGUUCUGCUGAGGCAUGAUCUUCUGACUCAGUGAAGACAAGAGGUUGUCUUCAGCCGGGCUGGCACAGAGGUCUGAUGCAGACGCUGUGAGUGGUGGCUGACUACAACAGAGUUGCUGACACAGGCCACACAAUCAUGCAAGAUACCCAAAUUAUACACUCAGUAAUUAAGUCAAAAAUGCUAAAGUCUCUAGUAUUGCUCGUAUGUCCAGCUUCCUUGAUGCCUUAGUUUUGUUAAUGUGAAACAGCAGAUCAGUCAUGGAGCCCAGGAAGAAAGUCAGGACUGACUGCAGCAAAAUGUACUUUAAGUCAGCUGCCGAAUCCUAUCUGCUACUCCAGUGGAUCUGGAAGAUAAUCAAUGAAGACCACAGACUGACCUACAGAGAAGGAAAGCUCUGGUGAGACCCCACAUGCAGUGCUGCAUCCAGCUCUGCGGUCUCCAGCGUAGGAAGGAUCUGUUGCAGCAGAGGCCACCAAGAUGACAAGAGGGAUGGAGCACCUCACCCAUGGGGAAAGGUUGAGAGAAUUGAGAUUGUUCAGCCUGGAGAAGAAAAGGCUUUAGAGUGACUUAACUGUGGAUUUCCAGUAUCUGAAGGAAGUCUACAGGAAAGAUGGAGAGGGACUUUUUACAAGGGUGUGUAGUGACAGGACAAGGGGGGAUGGAUUCAAACUGAAAAAAAUAUUAAGUUUAGAUAAGAGAUUAAGAAGAAUUUUUUCCCUUUGAGGGUGCUGAGGCACUGGAACAGGUUGUCCAGAGAAGUUGAGGCUUCCCCAUCCCUGGAAAUGUUCAAAGUCAGGCUGGGUGGGGAUCUAAGCAAUCUGGUCUGGUGAAGUGUGUCUCUGCCCAUGGCCAGGGAGUUGUAACUAGAUGAUCUUGAAUCUCUUCCAACACCAGCCAUUCUGUGAUUCUGUGAUAAAAAUCAUAAGCAAUACUUAUAAAAACAAAUAAAUUACUAAUGUUUAUGAUGCCUAUCACUGAAAAAUGGUGUAACUAAGAGCUAGUGACAGAUUCUCACUUGUCACCUUUUGGAGCUUGAUACAGUAUUUAGUAAGUGGAAUUUAACAGUCCAUGCUGUGUAAAUGUGAGAGGACAGGAACUUGGCAUUCCCUUCUGGAGCUCAGUCAUGUCGAUGCAGGUCAAUAAAUUAUCUGUCAGAUGUAAUGGCUGUUGUAAUGAAACCUAGCAAACACAGGAGGGCUCUAUGUGAACACAUAUUAAGAACUGUUUAGGUUGGUGCCAGACAGGAGUGGUAUGUUCUGGUGUUACAUAACCUUAAGUUAAUUUGCAAUGUAUUUUAAAGUAGUAAAAGAUUUUGCUGGAAAUUGCCAUCUUGUUUUGGGUAUGUAUGGGUUUAUAUCUAAGCAUUGUCUCUGUGAUGGAGCAUAAAAAUAUGAAAAUAAGUCCUAUAAACUCCAGCUGAAGGGGACUAUUAUGAAACAAAUAAAAUUCCCAAUUUUGA